rnacentral:misc_RNA from 1 species
UUUCCGUAGGUGAACCUGCGGAAGGAUCAUUACUGAGUGAGGGCCCCUCGGGGUCCAACCUCCCACCCGUGUUUAACGAACCUUGUUGCUUCGGCGGGCCCGCCUCACGGCCGCCGGGGGGCAUCUGCCCCUGGGCCCGCGCCCGCCGAAGCCACCUGUGAGCGCUGUCUGAAGUAUGCAGUCUGAGACAAUUAUUAAAUUAAUUAAAACUUUCAACAACGGAUCUCUUGGUUCCG